CAGCACAGUCUCUCAGCUUCUUCCAGUCUCAAUGCGGGGAACUCGAGCUGAACUUGAUCCCUUUGCAGUUCAAAGGUAGGGAUGUGUAAGUCUCAUGGAAGAAGUGGAGAAGUAGGCAUUCAGUAGGCAGUUAGCACCUGGAUAAGAUGCACGGGGAGAACCACCUCACUCUUCAAGGCACCAGAGAUGUACAGGAAUAAGGCAAAGGUUCUUCAUGAAUAAAUAUUCAGCCAGGGAUGAGAGUCCAAAUUCUUGAGAAAAUAGUGAACCAGUCUUGAAUAAAUAUAGAAAUGUAUGAAGACUUUCAUAUGAGUCCAGAAGCCUAAAAGAGAACUGCUUUGAAGAAAUUGAGACCAAACUGGAUGGCCAGAAGUGUAAACCAAGCCAACAAGAAGGACACACUUCAAACAGGUCACCAUAAUUAUCAAUGACAGAUGAUGGAAGCCAGAAGUGACACACAAGUUUUCAUUCCUGUUGACCAUUUCUCCACGACAUUUACAAAAUUGUUCCAUUGUAUAGUAAAGCAUUACUUUCCUGCCAUGUUUUCUUUAUGAGAAAUGAUAACAGACAAUGAUUAAUAACAUGUACCUUAAAUUGCACAUAAGUAGGAUUGUCCCUGUUACAAAUUUUCCCCUUCAUAUGAAUAUGUAUAGACUUUCCUAACAUGCCCCAACCUUUCUAUGAGGUAAAUAUAUCACUUGGGAAAGUUCUCUUUUCCUACACGAGGUAAUAAAAAUCCAUUUUUCACAC
rnacentral:lncRNA from 1 species